UCGUAACAAGGUCUCCGUUGGUGAACCAGCGGAGGGAUCAUUACCGAGUUUACAACUCCCAAACCCCUGUGAACAUACCAAUUGUUGCCUCGGCGGAUCAGCCCGCUCCCGGUAAAACGGGACGGCCCGCCAGAGGACCCCUAAACUCUGUUUCUAUAUGUAACUUCUGAGUAAAACCAUAAAUAAAUCAAAACUUUCAACAACGGAUCUCUUGGUUCUGGCAUCGAUGAAGAACGCAGCAAAAUGCGAUAAGUAAUGUGAAUUGCAGAAUUCAGUGAAUCAUCGAAUCUUUGAACGCACAUUGCGCCCGCCAGUAUUCUGGCGGGCAUGCCUGUUCGAGCGUCAUUUCAACCCUCAAGCCCAGCUUGGUGUUGGGACUCGCGAGUUAAAUCGCGUUCCCCAAAUUGAUUGGCGGUCACGUCGAGCUUCCAUAGCGUAGUAGUAAAACCCUCGUUACUGGUAAUCGUCGCGGCCACGCCGUUAAACCCCAACUUCUGAAUGUUGACCUCGGAUCAGGUAGGAAUACCCGCUGAACUUAAGCAUAUC
rnacentral:misc_RNA from 1 species